GCAGGGAAGCCAGCAGCCCCCGCAGCAGGCAAACGGCCUCAGGCGGUGGUGCAGAGCCCGGCCCAGGCUCCCCCAGGGCCGGCAGUGCGUGGCACCGGCUGUGAGCUGCGCAGGGACACCCACGCUCUCAGCCCCGGCGGAGAGCAGCCAUGAGCUGGAGGCUGAGCUAUUCCUAAGCCUACCUAAAGGCAGAACUUGUUCAUGCAGAAAGGCGCGUGCCUGCAGCCCACGCUCCCUCCCUGGACUGUGUAGCCUUGCCGAUGUGAAUUUUGGAUUGAGCUGAAGAAGCUACUGAUAAUGUUUUGCUUGUGCUGAUCAAAACCUCAUCGUGCUCCAUCCUGGUCCUCUCCUCUUUUGGUCUCCAAGAGGCACUCAUUUUCCUGUCUGACUGCCAAGCAUCGAAGCAGUUUUUCCCACUGACUCUGUACUCAGGAGAGUGAUGAAGCUGUAUUUUCAUCCACGGCUUCAGAGCAUCCUCCUGGGGAGACACAGGCACGGCGCAGAUCUGUGGAGUCUCUCUUCAGCAUCGCUCAGAGCAUCGCAUCAACUCCAGCACUCACAUGCACCCCAGCAGGGAUUUGCUGUCGUCUGAGGGGACCUGCUGUCAUUACUUCACCUCUAAGGUGAAUACCUUGUAAAGCUGUUAUGGCCAAGGGUAUCAAAAAGCUGCUCAAGCCCUUCAGGAAAAGCAAAGCUCUGCAGUCAUUAGCAAAUACUUGUGAUGUGCUACCAUGUUGAAAGAGAAAGCUACUCCCAUUCAGCAGCAAAUGGGGGCAAAUCUAGGAGCCGAGCCCGCAUCGGAUGCCCGUCCCGGCGGCGGACGGCGGGAUACACCUUUCCUUAUCUAUCCCUCGCUGGAAGAAAUGGAGACACUGUUAACGUUAUCAUUACAAAAAUUCAGAGAGAUGUGGAAGCAUGUAGGGAUG